GCACAGCUGAGGAGUCCUAUCAUAAGACGAAACGGAUGUCCAGUGC
rnacentral:hammerhead_ribozyme from 1 species